GACAAAUGGUUCCUUCCAGAACGCAGUUAAACCAAGUAAAUAAUUAAAAGGAUGAAAUAAUGAUUUUACAUUAAGGUAACAUGUUAAUCACAUACCUAAAAAAAUGGAAUUAUCUCGUUUUAUUUAAAAAAUCGAAUAUAUUUUCACUGCCAUCAAGCACACACUGAAAUACUUAAUGCGACCAAAUACACCGCAGUACUGCAGUACUACUUCCUCUAGCUACUAGCUAGUACCAGCUAGUACUUUUCCAUGUACUGACAAAGAUUUGCAUCCAGUCUCACUGCGAUCUCAGCAACGAAAUUGAAUACACAGGGCGUUUGCCCACCUAAGUAAUGGCACCAAAGCGGGCAGCAACAACAACACACUCUGUCAGUGUCCACACAGGCUCUUCUGUCAAAAUGAUGAAGAUUGGCAUGGAUCAUUCUCUGGAGGACUUUGGUGAGGUAAUAGAGGAGAAGUACAGAAUACCAGAUGAUGGAUAUUCACCCAUAGAGGGUGAACCAAUCACCUUCGAGGAAGAAGACGAUCAAAGUCCUGAAACGAGAACCGACACCAUAACUCUCCUGAUGAAAAUUGAUCAGCUCCAAGCAGAACUGAAAUAUGAGCGUAGAUGCAGGCAGCUGGCUGAGAGGGAACUGAAACAGAUGAAAGAGAUGAAUGACCUGAUGACCCAGAUGAGACACACUGCCCAUGACCUGAGGACUGUUCUGGACCAUGCUCGGGGGCAGCAGGGGAAUGAUGUGAAUGAUGUUGUGAACGAUGCUGUCACCCCAGAGAGCUGUGAGGGGCAGAGCAUCUCUUAUGCGGACGUGCCAGUUCAGAUGUCACAGGUGGUGUCACAGGAGGUAGAGCAGGACGCUAACUAUAUCCACCUCCCUGGGGGUCUGAGAGUGCAGAGGAAUCUGUACAAGGGGAUCUCAGAGAUCAUGGACUUCAAGAAGUACAUCUCAGCCAUGCUGAUGGUGCUGUUUGACAGGGAGACGCUGGGCACACACAGUCUGCAGGGCAGGAGGUGUAACAUCGCCAAAGAGGAAACGCAGAAACCUCAACUUCCCCCUGACAUCAUGAGAGGCCUUCUAGGUACUGUACUUUGUCUAUUUCUUAUUGCUGUCUAUUUUAUUCAACCUUAAUUUAACCAGGUUGUCUCAUUGAGGUCGGAGGACCUCUUUCCCGAGGGAAAGUCAUUCCAGCAAACUAAAAUUGGUUUUGUGAAAGUUCCCGGAACAUUUGUUAGUUCGCUGCAAAUCUUCACAUAACACAAAGGUAAGCAACUCCAGUGUAUAUUUGGCCUUGUGUUUUAGGUUAUUAUCCUUCUGAAACGUUCAUUUGUCUCCCAGUGUCUGUUGGAAAGCAGACUGAACCAGGUUUUCCUCUAGGAUUGUGUUUUGCUCUAUUCCAUUUAUGUUUAUACUAAAAAAACUCAACCACCACCAUGCUUGAAAAUAGGAAUAGUGAUAUUCAGUGUUGUGUUGGAUUUGCCCGAAACAUAACACUUCGUAUACAUGAAAUAAAGUUAAUUUCUUUGGCACAUUUUUGGCAGUUUUACUUUAAUGCCUUAUUGCAAACAGGAUACAUGUUUAUAAUAUUUUUAUUCUGUACAGACUUCCUUCUGUUCACUCUGUCAUUUAGGUUAGUAUUGUGGAAUAACUACAAUGUUGUUGAUCCCAUCCGCAGUUUCCCCCAUCACAGCCAUUACACACUGUGACUGUUUUAAAGUCACCAUUGGCCUCAUGGUGAAACCUCUGAGCAGUUUCCUUCCUCUCCGGCAACUGAGUUAGGAAGGACACUUGUAUCUUUGUAGUGACUGCGUGUAUUCGUACACCAUCCAAAGUGUAAUCAAUAACUUCACCAUGCACAAAGGGAUAUUCAGUGUCUGCUUUUCUUUAUUUUUACCCAUCUAUCAAUAGGUGACCUUCUUUGCGAGGCGUUGGAAAACCUCCCAGGUCUUUGUGGUUGAUUCUGUGUUUGAAAUUCACUGCUUGACUGAGGGACCUUACAGAUAAUUGUAUGUGUGUGGUACAGAGAUUAAGUAGUCAUUCAAAAAUCAUGUUAAACACUAUUAUUGCUAUUAUUGAGUCCAUGCAACUUAUUAUGUGGCUUGUUAAGUACAGUUUUACCCCUGAAUGUAUUUACUCAAGACAUUUAAGUUGUUGUUUUUUUAAAUCAAUUUGUAAAAAAAAAAAAAAAUUUUUUUGUUUUGUUUUGACAUUAUGGGGUAUUGUGUGUAGGCCAGUGACAAAAUCUCAAUUUCAUCAAUUUUAAAUUCAAGCUGUAACACAACAAAAUGUGGAAAAAGUUUGUGAAGGAACUGUAUUAUGUGACUUGUUAAGCAAAACUUAUUUAGACUUGCCAUAACAGGGGUUGAAUACUUAUUGACUAAUGACAUUUCAGCUUUUCAUUUUUGAUUAAUUUGUAAAAAUGUCUAAAAACACAAUUACACUUUCAUAUUAUGGUGUAUUGUAUGUGGGACAGUGACACAGAUCUGAAUCUGAAGGCGCUGUAUGUUUUUUAUUUCUAAUGAUAAAAGAUAUCAAUAAUACAUGUUUAAAUUGUAUUUUUUCUAGAUCACGUGAGGAUAAAGUUUGGUGUGGAUUACAGUGCGAUUCGAGCUGCCGUCAGAACAAAGUUAAAUAAUGAAGACAAACUGUUGAAGAAGAGACUUGGGAUCCGUUAAAUCUCCAUUCAAAAAAAUAAAAAUAACCAAAUACCAGGUUAUAAUCACACAAUUGUUUACAUUGCAAUUACUGUAUUCUGUCCUGUAAGUGCAAUGUUUUAUUCCACCAACAGAUGUCAGUGUUUAGACAGUUUAGUUGGUUGAUGUUACUUUUGAUCAGAAGGAUAUUGACUUUGUUUGUUUGUAUGAUUUAAGAGUACUGUAGACUACACAUAUUAUAGAUUACAUUUGUGAUUGAUUGACUCACAUAGUAGCCUUAACAACACAUUAUUCUAUAAUGAUUGUGCCUGUUAAAUACAUGUCUUUCUGAUUCCCACAACAUCCAAUCUGGUUUCACUAAUGCUAUUAAAUUACAUUUUUUAUAUAUAAAAAAAAACAUGUUAAACCCCU
ensembl:lncRNA